rnacentral:siRNA from 1 species
UAGGGGGUGUUAUUCGUGUAUG